ACCUGGUGGCUCAGUCAGUUGAGUGUCUGACUUCAGCUCAGGUCAUGAUCUCACGGUUUGUGGGUUCGAGCCCCACCUCAGGCU
rnacentral:tRNA from 1 species